rnacentral:rRNA from 1 species
GACGGAAGGUGCAAGCGUUGCUCGGAAUCACUGGGCGUAAAGGGUGCGUAGGCGGCCGUGCAAGUCUGGCGUGAAAGCCCCGGGCUCAGCCCGGGAAGUGCGCUCGAAACUGCGCGGCUCGAGUGCCGGAGGGGAGAGUGGAAUUCCUGGUGUAGCGGUGAAAUGCGUAGAUAUCAGGAGGAAUACCGGUGGCGAAGGCGGGUCUCUGGACAGUUCCUGACGCUGAGGCACGAAGGUCAGGGGAGCAAACGGG